rnacentral:rRNA from 1 species
GUCGCAGAGGUGUUCGAAAAAUUGACAGGGAUAACUCCGUUGUACGUGACAAGCGCCUCUAGCGAUGCU